UUGGAGGGCAAGUCUGGUGCCAGCAGCCGCGGUAAUUCCAGCUCCAAUAGCGUAUAUUAAAGUUGUUGCAGUUAAAAAGCUCGUAGUUGAAUUUCGAGAUCAGUACGCUGGUCGUGCCUUCGGUAUGCACUGGUGUCACUGGUUUCUCCCUUCUGAAGAACCGUCAUGCCAUUCAGUUGGUGUGGCGGGGAAUCAGGACUGUUACUUUGAAAAAAUUAGAGUGUUUAAAGCAGGCUCGCGCUUGAAUACAUUAGCAUGGAAUAAUGAAAUAGGACGAUUGACCCUAUUUUGUUGGUUUCUAGGAUCGACGUAAUGAUUAAUAGGGAUAGUUGGGGGCAUUAGUAUUCAAUUGUCAGAGGUGAAAUUCUUGGAUUUAUUGAAGACUAACUACUGCGAAAGCAUUUGCCAAGGAUGUUUUCAUUAAUCAAGAACGAAAGUUAGGGGAUCGAAGACGAUCAGAUACCGUCGUAGUCUUAACCAUAAACUAUGCCGACUAGGGAUCGGAUGAUGUUAAUUUUUUAAUGACUCAUUCGGCGCCUUACGGGAAAC
rnacentral:rRNA from 1 species